CAUGUGCUUGCUAUCAGGCGUCGAGCGGCGGACGGGUGAGUAACGCGUAGAAAACUGCCCAGUAGUGGGGGAUAGCCCGGGGAAACUCGGAUUAAUACCGCAUACGCUCUACGGAGGAAAGGGGGCCUUUGGCUCUCGCUAUUGGAUGUGUCUGCGUGGGAUUAGCCAGUUGGUGAGGUAAGGGCUCACCAAGGCGACGAUCUCUAGCUGGUCUGAGAGGAUGAUCAGCCACACUGGAACUGAGACACGGUCCAGACUCCUACGGGAGGCAGCAGUGGGGAAUAUUGCACAAUGGGCGCAAGCCUGAUGCAGCCAUGCCGCGUGUGUGAAGAAGGCUCUAGGGUUGUAAAGCACUUUCAGUAGGGAGGAAAAGUUAGUAGUUAAUACCUGCUAACCCUGACGUUACCUACAGAAGAAGCACCGGCUAACUCCGUGCCAGCAGCCGCGGUAAUACGGAGGGUGCAAGCGUUAAUCGGAAUUACUGGGCGUAAAGCGCGCGUAGGCGGCUUGUUAAGCCAGAUGUGAAAGCCCAGGGCUCAACCUUGGAACUGCAUUUGGAACUGACUCGCUAGAGUACAGUAGAGGGUGGUGGAAUUUCCAGUGUAGCGGUGAAAUGCGUAGAGAUUGGAAGGAACAUCAGUGGCGAAGGCGGCCACCUGGACUGAUACUGACGCUGAGGUGCGAAAGCGUGGGGAGCAAGCAGGAUUAGAUACCCUGGUAGUCCACGCCGUAAACGAUGUCUACUAGCCGUUGGGGAACUUGAUUCUUUAGUGGCGCAGCUAACGCACUAAGUAGACCGCCUGGGGAGUACGGUCGCAAGAUUAAAACUCAAAUGAAUUGACGGGGGCCCGCACAAGCGGUGGAGCAUGUGGUUUAAUUCGAUGCAACGCGAAGAACCUUACCUGGUCUUGACAUCCACAGAACUUUCUAGAGAUAGAUUGGUGCCUUCGGGAACUGUGAGACAGGUGCUGCAUGGCUGUCGUCAGCUCGUGUUGUGAAAUGUUGGGUUAAGUCCCGUAACGAGCGCAACCCUUGUCCUUAUUUGCAGCACUUCUGUGGGACUCUAAGAGACUGCCGGUGACAACCGGAGA
rnacentral:rRNA from 1 species